GCUAUCAUCGUACAGUGGUUAGUACCCCGCAUUGUGGUUGCGGAAACCCUGGUUCGAUUCCAGGUGAUGGCA